rnacentral:rRNA from 1 species
CCUACGGGUGGCUGCAGUGGGGAAUAUUGGGCAAUGGGCGCAAGCCUGACCCAGCAACGCCGCGUGCAGGAAGAAGGCUCUCGGGUUUUAAACUUCUUUUUUUAGGGAAGUGUACAAGACGGUACCUGACGAAUUAGCCACGGCUAACUACUUGCCAGCAGCCGCGGUAAUACGGAGGUGGCAAGCGUUGCCCGGAUUUCCUGGGUGUAAAGGGAGUGUAGCCGGGUGGGUAAGUCAGAUGUGAAAUCCUGCGGCUUAACCGGGGAACUGCAUUUGAAACUGUGGAGCUUGAGUACUGGAGAGGUAGAUGGAAUUCAUAGUGUAGCGGUGAAAUGCGUAGAUAUUAGGAGGAACACCGGUGGCGAAGGCGGUCUGCUGGACAGCAACUGACGGUGAGGCGCGAAAGCGUGGGGAGCAAACAGGAUUAGAUACCCUUGUAGUC